rfam:Ictidomys tridecemlineatus contig063935, whole genome shotgun sequence.
GGGGUUGUGGCUCAGUGGUAGAGCGAUUUCCUAGCAUGUGCAAGGCCCUGGGUUCAAUCCUCAGCACCACUU